rnacentral:lncRNA from 1 species
AAAAAAAAAAAAAAAAACAAAAGAGAGAUCUGAAUUUUGAGAGAGAACCGGCAGGAGAGAAAGGGAGAAAGAAGAAGAAGAAGAGAAAAGAGGGAAAUUAGAAAGGAAAUAGAAAGGAGUUGGAGAAAAUAAGUAAAAAGGUAAGAUUAUGUAUAAAUAUAUGUUAAUUAAGCUUUAAUUUCGAUUUUGAUAAAUUUUAGGGUUAUGAAAUUUAUGUUUUGGGUUUGAUUGAUGAUUUAAUUUGAAUAUUAUAGAGUUAAUUGUUGUGGGUAUUUGAUUAUUUGGAUGAUUUUGAGAGAUUGAAUUGAAAGAUGAUGAUUUUGAGUUAUGAUUUUGUUUGAAUGGUGAAAUUGUGUUAGGAAUUUGGAGAGAACAGUAGGUUUCUGUUAAAAAUUCUGGGUUGGAGGUUGAAGAUGACAAAAUUUCGGUUUGGUCCCUCAAUUUUGGAAAAUUACAGUUUAGUCCCCAAACUUUGGAAAAUUUGCAGAUUGGUCCCUGGAGCAUAUUCCGAGAUUCUGAACAGAAUAACAUAUGAAUUAUGGACAGAAUUACUGUAUAGAUAAGAGAAUUUAACACUUUCAAUUUAGUCCUUCAAUUUGACAAAAAUUGCAAUUUGACCCUUAAAAAUAGGAUAAAUUACAGAUUAGUCCCUAGCUGUAAUACUAGCUUUUGCAGAUUGGUUUGAUGAAUAAUUAAGGGUUAUUUAGUGAAUUAUUGCCAAUUUUAUUAGUUGUUUUAUUAUGGAUUAGAUUUCGGGAAAACCGUUAAAUUUUGGGUUUUUGAGAAAAUUGACUAGUUAGUUCAAAAACAUAUAGGGUUACGGAAUACAUCAUUAGUUAAGUUUAUUAAAUAAGUUAAAUGUUCUUUUGAGUCGUUCUUGAAUAUGUCUCCUUUGUAUUCAGAUAAUCCUGAUAUUCUACCGAUAGGACGUCAGUAGGAUUUUCUUCGGUGUCUGCUUUUGGCUUCUGUUUGCUUUUGAGUCAGGUGAGUGGAUAAUUUUCCAUAUGCAUGAGAAAUAGUAUAAAUAUUUGAUUUGUUAAUAUGAAUUGAAUCAUGCUUCUUGAUAAUAUAUAUGUUGACUAUUAUCCUUAUUUUGAUAAAGCAUGAUCAAUUAUUGAAUCUGAAUUCUUAAUAUGAACCAGUAUAUAUUUUGAAUUGAAUUCUGAAUUGAUAGCUCCUCAUUUGAUUGAUGUCAUGAGUUGAGCCUUGAGAUAUGAAUACGUCUGUUUGAUUAUGAUUAUGAACCUAUGGUAUGUCAGUCAGAAUACCCAUACUAACAGGGUAGUGUUAGUCUUUGUGCACAUCGUAUCUGAACCCUAGUUGGUCGGGGGAGUCACCAACCUGUGUGGACUGAUCAUCCCACAGUACGGAGCCUCAUGCUCAUUGCAUUUUGAUUUUCUGACGAGCUUUACCAUAUGAUAUUCUUGUUAUGGCCUAUUUGAGAAACUUUUCUAUAAGAACCUAGAGCCAUACUUAUAUAUAUAUUUCUCAUUGUUGUAUUACCUCGUGUGUGUAUAUUGAACGUUAUCUACUCACUGAGUUGUUGAACUCACCAUCUCAUUAUUUAUCCUUUUCAGGCUUAUAGCUUGAUAGCAGGUCAUUUUGUUGGACCUUCAGAAUCUGCUCUUUGGUUGUACUUUGUAUCUUUCCUUUAU